UCCGACCCACUAUUUCUGCUGAGUGUGUGUGCGCAUUUUUGUGCUGUUGGUGGUUAAGGGUGGUCGUUUGGCGAGGAAGAUGAGGACAUGAGGUUUCUUGGUGGAGCAGUGGUUGUUGGGUGGUUCGACGGAAGUUUCAGUGGUGAAGGGGAGGGAGAUGGCGGUGUCGUGGCUAGAGUCGUUUGGCCGGGCGGAUGGUUUCCGGCGUGGUUAUUGUAGUGUCGCUGGUGUUUUUGGAUGAGUCGAGAGGUCGUUUGGGUGAGUGUGUUUCCGGCAAGUUUUUG
rnacentral:lncRNA from 1 species